rnacentral:rRNA from 1 species
CCUACGGGCGGCAGCAGUGAGGAAUAUUGGUCAAUGGCCGUAAGGCUGAACCAGCCAAGUCGCGUGAAGGAAGAAGGCUCUAUGGUUUGUAAACUGCUGUUAGAGGGGAAUAAAGGGAGCCACGUGUGGAGAGUUGCAUGUACCCUAUGAAGAAGCAUCGGCUAACUCCGUGCCAGCAGCCGCGGUAAUACGGAGGAUGCGAGCGUUAUCCGGAUUUAUUGGGUUUAAAGGGUGCGUAGGUUGUUUUUUAAGUCAGCGGUGAAAGUUUGUGGCUCAACCAUAAAAGUGCCGUUGAAACUGGCAGCCUUGAGUGUGUUUGAGGUAGGCGGAAUGCGUGGUGUAGCGG